rnacentral:lncRNA from 1 species
GUCCAAGGGCCUGCGGCGGGCACUGUGGCAAUGUCGCCGGCACCAUCAGAUCGCUCCUCCAUGGUGUCGAUCCCAUGGUGCCAUAGGGGGUCCUCGGCAAGCGCCCACCGCACAAAGUCGACGCGCCCCUGGGGAUGUCCGGAACGAAUGCCGCUGAGCAGCGUCGAGAGAGCACAGCGCCGGAUGCCGCGUUCGUGGGUCCAUUGCACUACGGCAUAGUGUCCAUCGGCCGCGGCGCGGUCCACGUCUCUGCGCGAGCAGCGCCGCAGUUCGUGAGGGUGCUCCUGCACCUCGGGCAGUGUGUCGAGCCAUACGGCCACGCGCAAUAGGCCCUUGGACACGAUCAUGGCCAUGGCAAAGGCGGUCGGCUUGGGGACUAUCGGGCAGCCGCGGGUUGCCAGGUGCGUGAGCACGCUCAACGGCGCAGUCGAUGAUGCCAGCGGCGACGACGGCGGGACCGGGCCAAAGCCAUUGUGACACCAUUUAUGCGCGCGCCACUGUCCAUCGUGCGAGCGCGCAAAGGCAUGGACGACGUCGACGGUGGCCGCACAGUCGCUUUCCAGGGCACUGUGCAUGAUCUUUUCGCCGUGCGCGGCCAGGCUGACAUGGGCCGCGAGCACGGCGGCCAGCGUGUCGCUCUGGCCGGCGGCAGCCGCCGCGCGGGCGUACCUGCCACGGCAGCGGAGCAUGGCGGGCUCGACAAAAGAGGCGCCAAGGUAAUCAUCGGAUGUGGGCGCGAUCCCCACGUCGCUGUACAUCUGGUAGACGCGGGCAUCGAGCCACAAGAGGGCGUCGGUGCGUCCCGCCGCUGCCAGGCGGCACAGGCCGGCAACGUCAAACCCCUUGGCCGCCAUGCCCCAGCGGGCGUGCACAGCGACAAAGGCCUCUAGGGGUUCGUCGUCACAGGGCCCAACCCUGUCGUCGGCCACCAAGUUUGGUUCGCCCGUGUCCCGCGCCCGCACAGACACAGUGAGGUCAUAGGGGGUGGUGGGCGCGUACUUGCGCGUCCACGUGUCACAGGGCGCCAACACGCUGGCAAAGCGACGGGCGGUGGCCUGAAAGGCGGCGACGUCGCGCCAGCACUCGACGCGCAUGAGCACCUCGCGCACCAUCUCGUUGGGAAGCAUGUCAAACACGUCUGUGUCGUCGCACGGGGCCGCAUAGGCAGGGACGCGUUGAUGUCUCGCAUGCCUCGGUCUCUUGGACGGCUUGGCCGACAGGUCGCGCAGGAUGGUCCUAAACUCGUCGACCGUGUGGGCGACGGUGCGCUUGCGCGACGUGCACGCUGCCUUGGUGCUCGACAUUGCCGCCUGCACCUCCUUUUCCAGCGCCGUUCCUGCCUGGUCUAUCUAUUUGUUUGCGCCUGCGCGUGUGUCUCUCUGUACACGGUCCAGAGCCAGUGCCGCCAACGACCAAGGCGCAUGUAAUGAAAGAACAAGAAAAACGGUCGCCCCGCUCCUGGCUAUUUGAAGGGCUAUCCAAAAU